rnacentral:lncRNA from 1 species
UUACAGAAAAUAGACGACUAGAAAGACUAGAGAAAGUCGAGGUCCAAAUCGCUUGACGAGUGAUGUUAGAUUGCCUUUAUCUUUGGUUUUGCCUACAAUAGGACGCCGUCUCUUAUAUAUGAAAAGACAACAACAACGGCGACGCGAGGAUCGACAUUGCGGGCCGACGGCAUCCAUGCAAGUAAGUGAAGCGCGCGGGCACCGCGCGGGUGGUUGGGUUGGUUCGGCCUUGAGUAGAGGCACCUGAACAGCGGGUUCUGUGGCUUGUCGGUGGGCGGGGUGAAUUCUAGUUGGGUUCGCGAGGCCCGUAGGUCAGUAGGAAAGGUGGUUUUAUCUCGGCCUCCCGCAGUUGGCGAAGCUUAAGAUGGGAGUCCGUUUUGCCGGGAGUAGCUCUUGGUUGACAAGUUGUUGCGAGGGGCUUGGUCGGCGCCCUUUGUCUUGAGUUCGCCUGAUUUACCCUGGUAUCCUCGCGAGUCGCCAGAUAGCCCGGUGCAGGAUACUUACCAACAUAACAGCUACCCUACGUGCGAAGGCGUAAGGAACAACGAGCAAAACAGGCAUACAGGAUGGCGUCAAGAAAUCUGCAAGCAAACGAAAGUUGAAGUCAAGACGCGCGGACGGACCCGGAGUCUUCGGACGUGUGGACGGGCUACAGCUACAUCAGAAAGCCGCCGCGGCGGUCCGCUAAGUGCGGCACAAAUGCAUGACACGCGGCUGCGGAAGGCAGUGCGCUUAGGAAGCCCACCGCGGCGGCACGCCGAAUUGAAGGUGUUGAUUUAGGAGCAUAUAGGCAGCGGCCGUGGAAGGCGGUGCGCUUGUAGAAAAGCCGCUACGGCGGUCCGCUAAGUGCGGCACAUAUGCAUGACACGCGGCUGCGGAAGGCAGUGCGCUUAGGAAGCCUGCCGUGGCGGCACGCCGAAUUGAAGGCGUUGAUUUAGGAACAUAUAGACAGCGGUCACAGAAGGCGGUGCGCUUGUAGAAAAGCCGCUGCGGCGGUCCGCUAAGUGUGGCACAAAUGCAUGACACGCGGCUGCGGAAGGCAGUGCGCUUAGGAAGCCCACCGCGGCGGCACGCCGAAUUGAAGGUGUUGAUUUAGGAGCAUAUAGGCAGCGGCCGUGGAAGGCGGUGCGCUUGUAGAAAAGCCGCUACGGUGGUCCGCUAAGUGCGGCACAUAUGCAUGACACGCGGCUGCGGAAGGCAGUGCGCUUAGGAAGCCUGCCGUGGCGGCACGCCGAAUUGAAGGCGUUGAUUUAGGAACAUAUAGGCAGCGGCCGUGGAAGGCGGUGCGCUUGUAGAAAAGCCGCUACGGCGGUCCGCUAAGUGCGGCACAUAUGCAUGACACGCGGCUGCGGAAGGCAGUGCGCUUAGGAAGCCUGCCGUGGCGGCACGCCGAAUUGAAGGCGUUGAUUUAGGAACAUAUAGACAGCGGUCGCAGAAGGCGGUGCGCUUGUAGAAAAGCCGCUGCGGCGGUCCGCUAAGUGCGGCACAAAUGCAUGACACGCGGCUGCGGAAGGCAGUGCGCUUAGGAAGCCCACCGCGGCGGCACGCCGAAUUGAAGGUGUUGAUUUAGGAGCAUAUAGGCAGCGGCCGUGGAAGGCGGUGCGCUUGUAGAAAAGCCGCUACGGCGGUCCGCUAAGUGCGGCACAUAUGCAUGACACGCGGCUGCGGAAGGCAGUGCGCUUAGGAAGCCUGCCGUGGCGGCACGCCGAAUUGAAGGUGUUGAUUUAGGAACAUAUAGACAGCGGUCGCAGAAGGCGGUGCGCUUGUAGAAAAGCCGCUGCGGCGGUCCGCUAAGUGCGGCACAAAUGCAUGACACGCGGCUGCGGAAGGCAGUGCGCUUAGGAAGCCCACCGCGGCGGCACGCUGAAUUGAAGGUGUUGAUUUAGGAGCAUAUAGGCAGCGGCCGUGGAAGGCGGUGCGCUUGUAGAAAAGCCGCUACGGUGGUCCGCUAAGUGCGGCACAUAUGCAUGACACGCGGCUGCGGAAGGCAGUGCGCUUAGGAAGCCUGCCGUGGCGGCACGCCGAAUUGAAGGUGUUGAUUUAGGAACAUAUAGACAGCGGUCGCAGAAGGCGGUGCGCUUGUAGAAAAGCCACUGCGGCGGUCCGCUAAGUGCAGCACAAAUGCAUGAUACGCGGCUGCGGAAGGCAGUGCGCUUAGGAAGCCCGCCGUGGCGGCACGCUGAAUUGAAGGCGUUGAUUUAGGAGCAUUUGGACAGCAGCCGCAGAAGGCGGUGCGCUUGUAGAAAAGCCGCUGUGGUGGUCUGCUAAGUGCGGCAUGAAGGACGCUAUGAAGUGGGAGACGGAACACCUGGCAAGGAUGCUGAAAUGUAUAUGGUCUCACCGCAACUCUAUUGUUCCCUUUGGCCGUAAGUAUACUUCAUCGCUUGUCUCGUUGGAAGUGCGAGGUAGGAUGGUGCUUAUAGGCGAUUUGGCAGCCCUUGAGCCCUCGGCUCGUACUAGAGUGGUUUGCAGGUACGGGGAACGCACCCACGACCAUGUAACAACAGCAAGUGCGGCACAAAAUGCAUGACAAGCGGCCGCGGAAGGCAGUGCGCUUAGGAAGCCCGCCGCGGCGGCACACCGAAUGGAAGGCAUUGGGAUUUACGAAUAUAUCGACAGCGGCCGCGGAAGGCGGUGCACCUGUAGAAAAGCCGCCGCGGCGGUCCGCUAAGGGCGGCACAAAAUGCAUGACACGCGGC